rnacentral:rRNA from 1 species
GCUACGGGAGGCAGCAGUGAGGAAUAUUGGUCAAUGGGCGCGAGCCUGAACCAGCCAAGUAGCGUGAAGGAUGACUGCCCUACGGGUUGUAAACUUCUUUUAUAAAGGAAUAAAGUGAGGCACGUGUGCCGUUUUGUAUGUACUUUGUGAAUAAGGAUCGGCUAACUCCGUGCCAGCAGCCGCGGUAAUACGGAGGAUCCGAGCGUUAUCCGGUUUUAUUGGGUUUAAAGGGAGCGUAGAUGGGUUGUUAAGUCAGUUGUGAAAUUUUGCGGCUCAACCGUCAAAUUGCAAUUGAUACUGGCAGUCUUGAGUACAGGUGAGGUAGGCGGAAUUCGUGGUGUAGCGGUGAAAUGCUUAGAUAUCACGAAGAACUCCGAUUGCGAAGGCAGCUUACUAACCUGCCACUGACACUGAUGCUCGAAAGUGUGGGUAUCAAACAGGAUUAGAUACCCUUGUAGUC